rnacentral:rRNA from 1 species
UACGGAGGGUGCAAGCGUUAUCCGGAUUCACUGGGUUUAAAGGGUGCGUAGGCGGGCAGGUAAGUCAGUGGUGAAAUCUCCGAGCUUAACUUGGAAACUGCCGUUGAUACUAUCUGUCUUGAAUAUUGUGGAGGUGAGCGGAAUAUGUCAUGUAGCGGUGAAAUGCUUAGAUAUGACAUAGAACACCAAUUGCGAAGGCAGCUCGCUACACAUAUAUUGACACUGAGGCACGAAAGCGUGGGGAUCAAACAGG